rnacentral:rRNA from 1 species
AUUGAACGCUGGCGGCAUGCCUUACACAUGCAAGUCGAACGGCAGCGCGGACUUCGGUCUGGCGGCGAGUGGCGAACGGGUGAGUAAUACAUCGGAACGUACCCUGUUGUGGGGGAUAACUAGUCGAAAGAUUAGCUAAUACCGCAUACGACCUGAGGGUGAAAGUGGGGGACCGGAAACGGCCUCAUGCAGCAGGAGCGGCCGAUGUCUGAUUAGCUAGUUGGUGGGGUAAGGGCCCACCAAGGCGACGAUCAGUAGCUGGUCUGAGAGGACGAUCAGCCACACUGGGACUGAGACACGGCCCAGACUCCUACGGGAGGCAGCAGUGGGGAAUUUUGGACAAUGGGGGCAACCCUGAUCCAGCAAUGCCGCGUGUGUGAAGAAGGCCUUCGGGUUGUAAAGCACUUUUGUCCGGAAAGAAAUCGCGCUGGUUAAUACCUGGCGUGGAUGACGGUACCGGAAGAAUAAGCACCGGCUAACUACGUG